GACGAACGCUGGCGGCGUGCCCUAAUACAUGCAAGUAGAACGCUGAAGGAGGAGCUUGCUCUUCUGGAUGAGUUGCGAACGGGUGAGUAACGCGUAGGUAACCCUCCUGGUAGCGGGGGAUAACUAUUGGAAACGAUAGCUAAUACCGCAUAAUAUUGACUAUUGCAUGAUAGUCAAUUGAAAGGUGCAAAUGCACCACUACCAGAUGGACCUGCGUUGUAUUAGCUAGUUGGUGGGGUAACGGCUCACCAAGGCGACGAUACAUAGCCGACCUGAGAGGGUGAUCGGCCACACUGGGAUGAGACACGGCCCAGACUCCUACGGGAGGCAGCAGUAGGGAAUCUUCGGCAAUGGACGGAAGUCUGACCGAGCAACGCCGCGUGAGUGAAGAAGGUUUUCGGAUCGUAAAGCUCUGUUGUAAG
rnacentral:rRNA from 1 species